UACAGGGGGGUGCUAGCGUUGUUCGGAAUUACUGGGCGUAAAGGGCGCGUAGGCGGCUUAACAAGUCAGGUGUGAAAUCUCGGGGGCUUAACUCCGAAAGUGCAUUUGAAACUGUUAGGCUAGAGUGCAGUAGAGGUUGGUGGAAUUCCCAGUGUAGAGGUGAAAUUCGUAGAUAUUUGGGGAGGAACACCGGUGGCGAAGGCGGCCAACUGGGCUGCAACUGACGCUGAGGCGCGAAAGCGUGGGGAGCGAACAGG
rnacentral:rRNA from 1 species